rnacentral:lncRNA from 1 species
CUCGGAGCGGCUUUGCUCCGCCCGACCGCUGCGCGCCCAGGAAAAUCCCCCCCGCUGCCACCCACUGCCGGCGCCCGGUGAUGUCAUUGUUUGUGGAAAUCUGCACAGCUCCGGGCAGGGAAUUACGGUGUAUUCAGACUCUCUAGGAAGAAGAAUUCAGAUCCACACACUAUCAAGUCGAGGAAAAUCUGCUAUGUCAGAGACGGGGAACAGGGCAAACCAUAGUCAUCCAUAGGAGGAACUUCUGGACCUGUGCAUAUUGUUUGAACCACCGCAGAAGGGAGACAUGUACAAGGAAGACCUGGCAACUUUCCUCAGCAAGAACAGAUGAAUGAAUAAGGAAAAUGAGCUUGUGCCUUUUACCUGAGGUGAUUUGUCAAAAGCCCACAGCACUGUGGCUGUUCCCAGACUUUAAGGGAUAUACUCAACCUCAAUCGAAGGAGAAUCUCAAAAGCUAAAUCAUUGAAUUGAGGGAGAGGUUUUAGUUGAAUGUGAGGUGACCUGUUCACCUGUGGGGCUGAAUAUAUUGGUCUGAAGGCAUUUCUUUCUUGCCAAAGCAUUAAACAAUGGGGACUUAUAUUAUUUGACUUACUGCUUGAGUGGUGUGGAAUGAGAGAUCCCACAGAAUGUGAUUUUCUUUGAUGCUUGAAAGAGGGUACAGUGUGUGAGCAGGGGACUGGAGAAUCAACUGCUUGCUAGGAGCCCCAGCUGGUGAAUACUGGAAAAACUGAGUUCUAUAGCACAAUUAAAGUCAUUCUAUUAAUGAUUUUUGACAUGCA